AUACAAAACCGGUUAAAUAUAUAUAUCCAAAUUUUAUUAUAAAACUGAUUAGCUUCUCCUUUUUCUCGCUCGCGCGGCUCACUCUCUGCAACUCACUUCCUCUUCUCCGUUUCGCCGCUCCAUCCGUCACUGAAUAAUUUCGCAUGUAAAACUCGUUUUGCUUGAAAAGUCGUGUGAAGAAACCAAUCGAUUCUGAUUUAAGGUCAUUCUAAACUUGGACAACAUUGUAGAUAUAUGUCCUAAAGAUAGAGCAAGUGGAAUUAGAGCAGAAAAUGCAUUUGACGCAGAUGAUGUCAUGAGCAAUGAAAUAAAUAUAGAGGAAGAAGGUUCCACUGUGCAUAUUAAUUUAGAGUAACCAAGUUCCACAACAAAGAAGGUGCCAAAGUCCCUUUAAACCUGUGUUUUUUAUUCGUUCCUCUUUCCAUCAUGGUUUUGAAUUUGACCCUAGUGGCACUGCAUGAAGCCGAAAACCAAAUCGAAGUGUCUCUGAAACAAUCCCUCAAAUCUCUGGAACCUUCCUUGAGACCACCCUUCACCUUAACCAUUCCAAAACCCGAUGAAUACGCUCAACUCAACUGUGCAAUCCUUCACGGCAUUCUCACCGAACCCCAAUUUGCCAAAACCCACAUUAAACACAUGCACGCUGUUGUCACCGACGGUUAUGCCAUCUUCCUCAACUUGCUCCUCAAAAGUGUUUACCACCUCUACCCAAAGCUCCUUAGUUCGGUGAAAAACCAGUUGCUUUGGGUCACCAAGGAAAUGGUUCGCGUCUCAGCAAUUGGCUACGACGUCCUCUUGGUCUCCCUUUUGAGGCAAAUCAUUGGCGGUGAUUUCAGCGACGACAAUUUGUGGCUUUGUACGAAGUUGGUGACCCUCUUAUUGGAUAAAUGGGAUUGUUUCUUGGAAGAAGUGCCCCACAUUUUGUGCAGUGCUUUGUAUGUGUUUCUUCGAGUUUUGGCUGAUCAUUGUAGGCUCAAUGGUGAAAAGUUGGAGUCUUUGAAGCGGUUGGAGGUUCAUUUGUGCGUGAAAAUAGUGAAGGAAGAAUUUCACCUAUGUUUAAAAAUUGGGAGGGAUUUUGUUCGGUUGUUGCAGGAUUUGGUUCAUGUUCCUGAUUUUAAGUCUAUAUGGAAGGAUCUAAUUUUGAAUCCAUCUAAGUUUAAUACUUUAGGAUUUGGUGCUGUUUCUCAGAUUUAUUGCACUAGGACUUCGAGUAGGUAUGCUUUGCUUAGGAUCACUCCUGAAAUGGAAACUCAAUUGCGGUUUUUGCUUACCCAUGUGAAGUUGGGGCACGAAAAGAGGCAUUUGACGUGGUUUGCUAGGAAAUUUCUAAAUGAGCCGGAUAAAGAGACUGUUAUAGUUGAUAUAGUUAGAUUUAUAUGUUGUGCACACCAUCCUCCAAAUGAGAUUAUUCAGUCUGAUGUGAUUCCGAGAUGGGCUGUUAUUGGUUGGCUUUUGACAACUUGUAGGAGGAAGAAUUAUAUUGAGGCCAAUGUGAAACUGGCUUUGUUUUAUGAUUGGCUCUUUUUUGAUGAAAGGGUGGAUAAUAUCAUGAACAUAGAGCCUGCUAUUUUGUUGAUGGUACAUUCUAUUCCCCAAUAUGUGGACAUGACCAACACUCUUCUUGAGUUUUUGUUACUUCUUGUGGACAACUAUGAUAUGGAACAUAAGGAUAUCAUUGUUAAAAGUGUCUCAUCGGCCUUUCGAUUUCUUGAAAGCAAAGGUGUGAUUAAGUCGCUUGAUGUUUUGACUUCCUGUCCUACAAUAUCCCCUUCUCUAAAAGAGGGAUUGAGUAGAUUGUUAUCAUGUGGAAAGCGUGAAAGUUCUAAAGGAUUUCUGUCAGGUAGUUAAUACUCUACCAUGGCCACCUUCAAGAUUCUUAAAUUUGUCUUUAAUCUAAAUUAAGGUAGCUCAGAAUAUUAUAGGAGUAUGUAGCAAGCUGUGCAGUCUGCACACAUAUUUAGUCCAUUUUUUCAAAGACAGUUCAUAUGCAAUCUUUCUUUUAACACAUUUCUAAAUAAAAACUGGUUGAUCACUCUUCUGUCUCUGGCGGUGCUCUGCUCCCAUAACAACACCUUGUUCAUCUCAGUACCGAGUCAGCCAGGGCAACAGAUUGUGUAAUUUCUGCAAAAGUUAUAUAUCAAACAACUGGACAAGGUUAAAGAAGAGGCUGGCUGCUAUGAGAUAAGAGAAUGCUGCUUAGGAGAAAAGACAGAAAGAAACAGCUCUAUGCUUAGGAAGUCUUGUGAUAUCAUAGAAUUAGAUGUGAAUAUUGAUAAUAAAACUAAUUGAAAGAACCGUCUCUGUGUCUUUCCAUGGUUUACCCUGUAUUUGCAAUUUUAAUGGCUAAAAACAAUGAGUGCACUGUCACUGCUUGGUAGUAAUGGUUUCUCUCUUUUCAAACAAGCAUGUCCUUUCUCUACUA